AUAUAUCAACCUCUUCAAAUUUUGUUUGUCGGGUGUUGGAUUUGGGGGUCUUUUUUGCUGGUCUUGUAUCUACAGGUCAGCUCCCCUGAAAUGCAUUAGCAGAACAAUUUGUGAACCGUUCAUUGGUGUGAUAACUAUCUACGCUUUUGACGUGAAACAGGUUCAGCUUCUAACAGUCCAUUGAAUUGGACAACUUUUCAUUU
rnacentral:misc_RNA from 1 species